rnacentral:lncRNA from 1 species
UUUCAUAGACCGUCAUAGUUAGGCAUUAGUUUAACAGAAAAAAAAAAAGAAUGAAAUUAAGCAAAGUACUAUAAAGGAAGACAUUGGUGUGGAUAAGAGAGCAUGGUAAUAGAAAAAGAAAGAUGUGAAUGUGUUCCUUUAGUUUUUAAUAUGUGAAAUCAGUGUUUUUAAUAUGAAACAUCAAAAUAAGUGAAGCAGGCCAAUACACAUCUGAGAUUUAACAUAGGCAUUAAAUGGCCUGUAGAAGUUAACAAGAUAGAAAACACAUUCUGGUAUGUGUC